AUUGAACGCUGGCGGCAGGCUUAACACAUGCAAGUCGAGCGGAGCGAGGGUGCUUGCACCUUAGCUUAGCGGCGGACAGGUGAGUAAUGCUUAGGAAUCUGCCUAUUAGUGGGGGACAACAUUCCGAAAGGAAUGCUAAUACCGCAUACGCCCUACGGGGGAAAGCAGGGGAUCUUCGGACCUUGCGCUAAUAGAUGAGCCUAAGUCGGAUUAGCUAGUUGGUGGGGUAAAGGCCUACCAAGGCGACGAUCUGUAGCGGGUCUGAGAGGAUGAUCCGCCACACUGGGACUGAGACACGGCCCAGACUCCGACGGGAGGCAGCAGUGGGGAAUAUUGGACAAUGGGCGGAAGCCUGAUCCAGCCAUGCCGCGUGUGUGAAGAAGGCCUUUUGGUUGUAAAGCACUUUAAGCGAGGAGGAGGCUACUUAGAUUAAUACUCUGGGAUAGUGGACGUUACUCGCAGAAUAAGCACCGGCUAACUCUGUGCCAGCAGCAGCCGCCGUAACAC
rnacentral:rRNA from 1 species